rnacentral:tRNA from 1 species
UCCUCCUGUAGCUUAAAUUUAAAAGCAUUGUCUUGAAGCGGCAGAGAAGGGCUUUGGCCCUGGGGGGAU